rnacentral:rRNA from 1 species
AUUGAACGCUGGCGGCAUGCCUUACACAUGCAAGUCGAACGGCAGCACGGGUGCUUGCACCUGGCGGCGAGUGGCGAACGGGUGAGUAACAUAUCGGAACGUACCUUAUUGUGGGGGAUAACGCAGCGAAAGCUGUGCUAAUACCGCAUAAUCCCUAAGGGGGAUAGCGGGGGACCGUAAGGCUUCGCGCAAUUAGAGCGGCCGAUACCUGAUUAGCUAGUUGGUGAGGUAAAGGCUCACCAAGGCAACGAUCAGUAGCUGGUCUGAGAGGACGAUCAGCCACACUGGGACUGAGACACGGCCCAGACUCCUACGGGAGGCAGCAGUGGGGAAUUUUGGACAAUGGGGGCAACCCUGAUCCAGCAAUGCCGCGUGAGUGAAGAAGGCCUUCGGGUUGUAAAGCUCUUUUGUCAGGGAAGAAACAGCAGCUCUAACACAGUAUGCGAAUGACGGUACCUGAAGAAUAAGCACCGGCUAACUACGUGCCAGCCGCCGCUGUAA